AUGAUGGCAAAGUCCGCAGUGACGCCUCUCUGCUGGUUCAACACACACUUACUGAGCUCUAACGCGGGGCGGGGGGGAAGAGGGGGGCUAUCAGAGGCGGCGCUUGCUGCCUCAUUCUUAGAGCAAGCCUGGUUUCACAGCCCCUCCUGCUUCCACAAGGGCUUUUUCCACAGCAACGUGCAGGCCUGUGUCUCCUCUCCUGCCUGUUCACGGGAGCGCAGGAAUCCCACGUGCAGGCCACACCUCCAGGAUUGGAGAUUGCUUUUCAACAUGAGAUUUGGAUGUGGACACAGAUCCAAACUACAUCACCUACCUCAAGGGACUGUGCAGUGACCACUCUGUUACAAUGCAACCACAUGGAACUCAUUCCUGCUUUCUCUAACCCCAUCAAUUGGAAGGGAACUCUGAUGGGGUAGUAUCAUGGGCCCCAAUGAAUGACUCACUGCAUAGGUCUUCUUUGUUUCUCACUCCCCUUUCACUGGUUUGACAAUCUGCUUGUUGCCACCCCUCUUCUCUCUGAGAUCUAUGAGUAAUAAACUGCUUUUGUUUUUUUCAUGUGUUUUUGUUGUGCUGUCUUCUCUGCGCCUCACCUGACUGACACACACAGACCUAAUUUUACUCCCAGUGAAAGCUCUCCUAAAGAGUGGCUAUCUUGGCAGGAAUAAACUGAGCACAAGUCAGACAAGAGCCUCAAGGGCAGAUGCCAGUAUAAACAAGUUUCCUAGGAGAGGGACACCUGACCAUGGGUCAGCUACCUCGGCAUUAGGCCAUCUGCUAAAAUAAAGAAGUAUCCUGUGAAAGGCACAGUGUAAAUACCCACAAACAAGCCCCUGAAACCUGAUCAGGGCAGGGCUAGAGUUUAUACUCCCUCUGCAGAGAAAGAUUUCAAGACCAAAUUUAGGAGAAAAACAAUGUAACUUGUAGGUCUUGGAAAACCAGUAACGAUGUUAUCCCUAUUUUCUUUCGUUCUUCUCUUUGAAAUUAACAUG
rnacentral:lncRNA from 1 species